rnacentral:rRNA from 1 species
CGCGUAGGUGGUUGUGUAAGUCAGAUGUGAAAUCCCGAGGCUCAACUUCGGAACUGCAUCUGAUACUGCAUGACUCGAGUGCAGCAGAGGGAAACGGAAUUCCUGGUGUAGAGGUGAAAUUCGUAGAUAUCAGGAGGAACACCGGUGGCGAAGGCGGUUUCCUGGGCUGACACUGACACUGAGGCGCGAAAGCGUGGGUAGCAAACAG